rnacentral:misc_RNA from 1 species
GAUGAAGAACGUAGCGAAAUGCGAUAAGUAAUGUGAAUUGCAGAAUUCAGUGAAUCAUCGAAUCUUUGAACGCACAUUGCGCCCGCCAGUAUUCUGGCGGGCAUGCCUGUUCGAGCGUCAUUUCAACCAUCAAGCCCCCGGGCUUGUGUUGGGGACCUGCGGCUGCCGCAGGCCCUGAAAAGCAGUGGCGGGCUCGCUGUCACACCGAGCGUAGUAGAUUUUAUCUCGCUCUGGGCGUGCUGCGGGUUCCGGCCGUUAAACCACCCUUUUAACCCAAGGUUGACCUCGGAUCAGGUAGGAAGACCCGCUGAACUUAAGCAUAUCAUAAGCGGAGGA